CCCUUAGAUGUUCUGGGCUGCACGCGCGCUACACUGAUGCACUCAACGAGUUUAUAACCUUGCCCGGUAGGGUUGGGUAAUCUUUUGAAAGCGCAUCGUGAUGGGGAUAGAUUAUUGUAAUUAUUAAUCUUCAACGAGGAAUUCCUAGUAAGCGCUAGUCAUCAGCUAGUGCUGAUUACGUCCCUGCCCUUUGUACACACCGCCCGUCGCUGCCUCCGAUUGAAUGGUCCGGUGAGGCUUUGGGAGAGCUAAAUAGACUGUGCUUCACAGAUUAUUUGGCUUGAACUUAGUCAAACCUUACUAUUUAGAGGAAGGAGAANUCGUANCA
rnacentral:rRNA from 1 species